rnacentral:tRNA from 1 species
GCCUGGGUGGCUCAGUUGGUUGGGCGUCUGACUUCGACUCAGGUCACAAUCACGGUUCGUGGAUUUGAGCCCCACGUCUGGCU